AGUGAACGCUGGCGGUAGGCCUAACACAUGCAAGUCGAACGGCAGCACAGUAAGAGCUUGCUCUUACGGGUGGCGAGUGGCGGACGGGGGAGGAAUACAUCGGAAUCUACUUUUUCGUGGGGGAUAACGUAGGGAAACUUACGCUAAUACCGCAGACGACCUACGGGUGAAAGCAGGGGAUCUUCGGACCUUGCGCGAUUGAAUGAGCCGAUGUCGGAUUAGCUAGUUGGCGGGGUAAAGGCCCACCAAGGCGACGAUCCGUAGCUGGUCUGAGAGGAUGAUCAGCCACACUGGAACUGAGACACGGUCCAGACUCCUACGGGAGGCAGCAGUGGGGAAUAUUGGACAAUGGGCGAAAGCCUGAUCCAGCCAUACCGCGUGGGUGAAGAAGGCCUUCGGGUUGUAAAGCCCUUUUGUUGGGAAAGAAAAGCAGCAGGUUAAUACCCCGCUGUUCUGACGGUACCCAAAGAAUAAGCACCGGCUAACUUCGUG
rnacentral:rRNA from 1 species